AGGUACAAGGUUCAGCCACGUCAAGCAACUCCAUGGAAAGCAAGAACUUAGUGGCCAUGAAUUUUUACCUUCGGUUGGGGCGACCACGGAGGAAAAGCAAGCCUCCGAGUGGACUGGGCCAAGACCCCUAAAGCCAUAAGAGACAUCUUUAAGCCGCAGAACAUCUGACCAAUAAUGAUCCGGCUAGAAGCCGAUCAGCGGACCAAGUUACCCUAGGGAUAACAGCGCAAUCCUCUCCCAGAGCCCAUAUCGACGAGGGGGUUUACGACCUCGAUGUUGGAUCAGGACAUCCUGGUGGUGCAGCCGCUAUUAAG
rnacentral:rRNA from 1 species